rnacentral:lncRNA from 1 species
GCCAGUAACACACUCGAAGGUCACGGAGAUCUUUACGUAAAACGUGUUAUGCAGUGGUGUAGAGGUUGGGUGAGGACGGACGUUUUGCAUCAUUAUGAAGCAGGUAGAACACCCGCAAGGCUUUAGAGGUGAGGGUGAGAAAAAAAAUCGUAUAAAAGGAGAGAGAAACGGCGAUAGAAAAUCAGUCGAGUGAGCAUCUCCGACACGGCAACAACUGCAGCGCACUCACCAUCUGCCUUCAUCACCGUAUUGCCAGUUCGCAACCAUGGUUAACUAAGGCGUCGUAUGCUGUUGGGUGUUGUAUCGUUGAAGGCUGGGUCGACCACUGGUGUACCGAUGUCUCCUUUGUAUGGCGGAUGCCAAACCGCAACGCUGACGCCUUACUACACAACAACAUUCGCAACAACCGGUUCCUACACCACCAAGGCUCAAGAGUGUUACACCACAAUUCAUGAUGCCCCGAGUUGCUACACCGAAUCCCGAAUUAUAACUCAACCCCGAGUUACAUCACCAGAGGCGGAGUACUACACCGAGGCUCCUAAGUACUACAUCACUAAGGCACCGGAAUACUACACGUCUAUGUAUGCUGCCCCUGCCUACUACACCGAGGCCCCGCAUUACUACAACACUAAAUCGCUCAAGUACUACACUACAACCUACGUUGCCCCGAACUACUACACCUAGGUACCGAAGAAUUACUGUGAGUAAAAGGAGUCGUCAAAAAAAGAAGUCGUGCCCAAACUGCAGUGCCUUAUCUGUCACCAACUGCAUUCCUCAUCGUGUAACCGAUUUUCAAUUAUGGUCAACUAUGGCGUCGUGCCCCUGUUGGAUUUUGUAGCGUUGAUGGCUGGGUCGACCACUGAUGUACCGAUGUCUCCUUCUUUCGCAACUUACGCAACGAGGUUCCUGCACCGAGGUCUUCAAGUACUACACCACUAAAGCACCGGAGUUUUAUACCACAACUUACGCUACCCCGAGCCACUAAACUGACGCCCUGAAGUAUUACUCUGCCCCGAGUUACUACACCACAAAGGCGACGGAGUACUACAUGAUUAUACUUGCUACACCGAGGCUCCCGCUGAUAACUCCAUCAAAACGGUUGAGUACUACACCGAAGCGGCGAAGGUCUUCUCUGCCCUGAUCUAUACACCCACAACUGAGGUGGCCAAGUAUUACGCAUUCCCUACUUACUACCCAGAAGCUGCUCUUUCGUACUACGUUGAAGUGAAGCACUACACUGAUGCUCAAGUCUACUACACCACAACCUACGGACCUACGCUACACCUAGCUACAACACCGCAGCUCCCAAGUACUACACCGAAGAAGCCGCCUAUUACGCAACCACGUACGCUGCCUAGAAUACCACAUCGAGGAAUUUAAGUAUUACCCUACUCCAACGUACUACCAUCUGAGGUUUACAUGUAUUACACCAGCAAUUUCCCGACUGUCACCACUACUUAUGUUGCUCCGAACUAUACAUCGAAGUUUUGAAGUAUUUCUCUGGAUGUGUUAAAGAUUGCUGAAAUACAAAAUUGAU